rnacentral:rRNA from 1 species
UACGUAGGGGCCUAGCGUUGUCCGGAUUUAUUGGGCGUAAAGAGCUCGUAGGCGGUUCGGCAAGUCGGAUGUGAAAUCUCCACGCUCAACGUGGAGGGGCCAUUCGAAACUGCCGUGACUCGAGUCCGGUAGGGGAGUGUGGAAUUCCCGGUGUAGCGGUGAAAUGCGCAGAUAUCAGGAGGAACACCGGUGGUGUAGACGGCUCACUGGACCAUAACUGACGCUGAGACACGAAAGCGUGGGUAGCAAACAGG